AACGAACGCUGGCGGCAUGCCUAACACAUGCAAGUCGAACGAGACCUUCGGGUCUAGUGGCGCACGGGUGCGUAACGCGUGGGAACCUGCCCUUAGGUUCGGAAUAACUCCCCGAAAGGGGUGCUAAUACCGGAUAAUGUCUUCGGACCAAAGAUUUAUCGCCUUUGGAUGGGCCCGCGUUGGAUUAGCUAGUUGGUAGGGUAAAAGCCUACCAAGGCGACGAUCCAUAGCUGGUCUGAGAGGAUGAUCAGCCACACUGGGACUGAGACACGGCCCAGACUGGUACGGGAGGCAGCAGUGGGGAAUAUUGGACAAUGGGCGAAAGCCUGAUCCAGCAAUGCCGCGUGAGUGAUGAAGGCCUUAGGGUUGUAAAGCUCUUUUACCCGGGAUGAUAAUGACAGUACCGGGAGAAUAAGCUCCGGCUAACUACGUG
rnacentral:rRNA from 1 species